GAUGAACGCUGGCGGCGUGCCUAAUACAUGCAAGUCGAGCGAACAGACGAGGAGCUUGCUCCUCUGACGUUAGCGGCGGACGGGUGAGUAACACGUGGAUAACCUACCUAUAAGACUGGGAUAACUUCGGGAAACCGGAGCUAAUACCGGAUAAUAUAUUGAACCGCAUGGUUCAAUAGUGAAAGACGGUUUUGCUGUCACUUAUAGAUGGAUCCGCGCCGCAUUAGCUAGUUGGUAAGGUAACGGCUUACCAAGGCAACGAUGCGUAGCCGACCUGUGAGGCUGAUCGGCCACACUGGAACGGAGACACGGUCCAGACUCCUACGGGAGGCAGCAGUAGGGAAUCUUCCGCAAUGGGCGAAAGCCUGACGGAGCAACGCCGCGUGAGUGAUGAAGGUCUUCGGAUCGUAAAACUCUGUUAUUAGGGAAGAACAAAUGUGUAAGUAACUAUGCACGUCUUGACGGUACCUAAUCAGAAAGCCACGGCUAACUACGUG
rnacentral:rRNA from 1 species